AGGUAGUAAUAUUUAAUAAAACCUUUUUAUUACGGCGGCUUUUAUUUUAUUAGAGGAACUUGUUAUAUAAUCGAUAAUCCACGAUAAAUUUUACUUAAAUAAUAAAUUUAUAUACCGCCAUCUAAAGAAAUUUUUAAUAAAAAUUUUCUAAAUAAAAAAUAAAAAGUUAGGUCAAGGUGUAAUAAAUAUUUAAGAUUUUAUGAGUUACAUUAAAAUCAUUUAAGGAUAUUAAUUUAAAAUUUAAUUGAAAUAGGAUUUAAUAGUAAAAAUUAAAUAAUAUUUAAAUGUGAAUAAUUUAAUAAAAGUGU
rnacentral:rRNA from 1 species